rnacentral:lncRNA from 1 species
GUUAGGUUAGUUAGGUUAGUUAGACAGGAAGAUGUAAAUUGACAACGGAAACCGUAUAAAAGAUGUGAAAAGUUAAAAACAUCAACUGUCGAGGACUGACUCCUACUGUCGUAAAGCAGCUUGGAAUUUUAUUCUGUUUUCAUCAUUAGACCCUCAAAAAUUUAUUCAAAAGAUAUGAUUACGAAUUGCCAACGACAUCGUUUUUGCGAUAUUCUGAUAGGUAAACGACCCAAGGAUUUUGAUUUCACAAUCAACACUAUACAGCAGCAGAUAAAGAUAUUCACGAAGGAGGAAAUUAAAAUAAAUAAGAAAAGGAAAAAGCAUGAAAGGACAAGGAGAAGAAGAAAAAAAACAAAAAUAAUGACAAGGGAAAUUUUGAAAUUGCUACUUUGUGAAUCGAUGUUCUGACUGAUGGAUAACAAGCAGGUAGAAUUUAUGAAAGAUUGGAAGCUGAAACACAUAAAUAGAUGAGAUCUAACCAUUCUAUGUCUCUUGAUCUCAAUAAUAAAUUGUACGAUUACUUCUAUGGAUCUGCACAAAAACAAAUAAUUUUUCUAGAUAAUGUUAGUAUUAGGAUACAUGAAGAUUAUUUUCGAAUUCUGAGGAUGAGGCUACAAUAAAGGCUCAGGAUGAGGCUAUAAUAAAUUGAAAGAAAAUAUUGACAGUCUGUCACAAAUAUCCAUUGAAAGAAUCUGAAGUAAAUGGACUUAGCCCAUAUAUGAUAGGAAUGUAAUCUGUAUGAUUUAAGUUCAAGCAAUUUGCAUCAUUAUUAUGACAUUGACCAGUUGAAUACCACGAAAAAGAAAGCAAAUAUAAAGCAAAUAUUAAUAUAUAAAGCAAAUAUUAAUAUAUAAUUGAGCAAAUAAAUUUAUUCUUAUAUUCA